AGAGUUUGAUCCUGGCUCAGGAUGAACGCUAGCGACAGGCUUAACACAUGCAAGUCGAGGGGCAGCACAGGUAGCAAUACCGGGUGGCGACCGGCGCACGGGUGAGUAACGCGUAUGCAACUUGCCUAUCAGAGGGGGAUAACCCGGCGAAAGUCGGACUAAUACCGCAUGAAGCAGGGAUCCCGCAUGGGAAUAUUUGCUAAAGAUUCAUCGCUGAUAGAUAGGCAUGCGUUCCAUUAGGCAGUUGGCGGGGUAACGGCCCACCAAACCGACGAUGGAUAGGGGUUCUGAGAGGAAGGUCCCCCACAUUGGUACUGAGACACGGACCAAACUCCUACGGGAGGCAGCAGUGAGGAAUAUUGGUCAAUGGCCGAGAGGCUGAACCAGCCAAGUCGCGUGAGGGAUGAAGGUUCUAUGGAUCGUAAACCUCUUUUAUAAGGGAAUAAAGUGCGGGACGUGUCCCGUUUUGUAUGUACCUUAUGAAUAAGGAUCGGCUAACUCCGUGCCAGCAGCCGCGGUAAUACGGAGGAUCCGAGCGUUAUCCGGAUUUAUUGGGUUUAAAGGGUGCGUAGGCGGCCUUUUAAGUCAGCGGUGAAAGUCUGUGGCUCAACCAUAGAAUUGCCGUUGAAACUGGGGGGCUUGAGUAUGUUUGAGGCAGGCGGAAUGCGUGGUGUAGCGGUGAAAUGCAUAGAUAUCACGCAGAACCCCGAUUGCGAAGGCAGCCUGCCAAGCCAUGACUGACGCUGAUGCACGAAAGCGUGGGGAUCAAACAGGAUUAGAUACCCUGGUAGUCCACGCAGUAAACGAUGAUCACUAGCUGUUUGCGAUACACUGUAAGCGGCACAGCGAAAGCGUUAAGUGAUCCACCUGGGGAGUACGCCGGCAACGGUGAAACUCAAAGGAAUUGACGGGGGCC
rnacentral:rRNA from 1 species